rnacentral:rRNA from 1 species
AGUGAACGCUGGCGGUAGGCCUAACACAUGCAAGUCGAACGGCAGCACAGUAAGAGCUUGCUCUUACGGGUGGCGAGUGGCGGACGGGUGAGGAAUACAUCGGAAUCUACUUUUUCGUGGGGGAUAACGUAGGGAAACUUACGCUAAUACCGCAUACGACCUACGGGUGAAAGCAGUGGAUCUUCGGACCUUGCGCGAUUGAAUGAGCCGAUGUCGGAUUAGCUAGUUGGCGGGGUAAAGGCCCACCAAGGCGACGAUCCGUAGCUGGUCUGAGAGGAUGAUCAGCCACACUGGAACUGAGACACGGUCCAGACUCCAACGGGAGGCAGCAGUGGGGAAUAUUGGACAAUGGGCGCAAGCCUGAUCCAGCCAUACCGCGUGGGUGAAGAAGGCCUUCGGGUUGUAAAGCCCUUUUGUUGGGAAAGAAAAGCAGCAGGUUAAUACCCCGCUGUUCUGACGGUACCCAAAGAAUAAGCACCGGCUAACUUCGUG